AUGGGGGAGUCAGGCGGCCGCGCGGCAAGUUAUCAGCUGGCGGAGGUUCCUGCGGAAGCUGUCGUCCAGGAAGGCGUAGAGGAACGGGUUGAGGCAGCUGUUGGCGUAACUCAGGCUGGUGAUGAAGUAGGAGAUAGCGAUGACGAGCGGCGUCUGCGGGAGGUCGGUGGUGAGCGCCACCACGGUGCUCAGGUGGUAGGGCGUCCAGCAGAGGAGGCACACGGCCAGGAUCGCCACCACCAGGAACGUCACCCGCUUCUUGGCGCGCUGCAGGGCCUUGGCGUGGCUGUCCAGCCUCAUGGCAUGCAGCCGGCACAGCAGGGUGGUAUAGAGGACACAGAUGGUGGACACCGGGAUGGCGAAGCCCAGCACGAGCGUGUAGAGGCGGCUCGCGCGCCACCAGAAGGCCUCGGGCUGCGGGAAGACCAGCACGCACUGGCGCCUGCCCUGUUCGUCGUCAAGCCGGGCGAAGACUGCGAAGGGCAGCACGACGAGUGUGACGAGCCCCCACACGGCCAGGCUCACCGCGCGCGCUGCGCUGUAGGUGCGGCCGGCCACUCGGCGCGACUCGGCAGUGGCCAACACCACCAGGUAGCGGUCGGCGCUCAUGACAGUGAGGAAGUAGAGGCUGGAGAAGGUGUUGUACUGGUCGAUAGCCACGAUGAGUUUGCACAUGAGCUCCCCGAAGGGCCACUGCCGCAGCAGGAAGUCGGCGAUGUUGAUGGGCAGCACCAGUGUGAAGAGCUCAUCGGCGAUGGCCAGGUUGAGGAUGAACAGGUUGGUGACGGUCUUCAUGCGGGGCGCCCGCAGCAACACGUACAGCACGGCGGAGUUGCCCGCCAGACCCACGGCGCAGAUCACCGCGUAGACAACCGGCACAGCCACAGCCAGCGGUGCCGGCAGCGGCGCCAGAGUCGACGCGUUGGAGCAGCUCAGCGCCCAGCCCGGGCACGAUACGUUGGCGGGCCAGGGCUCCGAGAACGAGGCGUUGUCCAUCUUAACGAAGGCAGAGGAGCCGGCGACUCGGCGUCCCCCACGGCCGCCCCACGGAACUCAGCGGUCCCGAAGCCCGGGUCUGCACGGACCUGCUCGCGGACGCUCGCUUCAGCUCUCCAAGCCGUUCUCUGGUUUUUCUAG
rnacentral:lncRNA from 1 species